GACGAACGCUGGCGGCGUGCUUAACACAUGCAAGUCGAACGGAAAGGCCCUGCUUUUGUGGGGUGCUCGAGUGGCGAACGGGUGAGUAACACGUGAGUAACCUGCCCUUGACUUUGGGAUAACUUCAGGAAACUGGGGCUAAUACCGGAUAGGAGCUCCUGCUGCAUGGUGGGGGUUGGAAAGUUUCGGCGGUUGGGGAUGGACUCGCGGCUUAUCAGCUUGUUGGUGGGGUAGUGGCUUACCAAGGCUUUGACGGGUAGCCGGCCUGAGAGGGUGACCGGCCACAUUGGGACUGAGAUACGGCCCAGACUCCUACGGGAGGCAGCAGUGGGGAAUAUUGCACAAUGGGCGGAAGCCGGAUGCAGCAACGCCGCGUGCGGGAUGACGGCCUUCGGGUUGUAAACCGCUUUCGCCUGUGACGAAGCGUGAGUGGCGGUAAUGGGUAAAGAAGCACCGGCUAACUACGUG
rnacentral:rRNA from 1 species